rnacentral:lncRNA from 1 species
UGUUGAUGUACUAAAAAAUGCACCCAUUCAAGAACAUGUUGCCUAUGAAAUGAAACAACAAAUGGUAGUGCCAAAGACAUCAGUAUUGACACAUGAGGAAGCAGCCAACUUGGGAGUAAAGAAAGUUCAAGAUGUGGAGAGCAUACCACAAUUUGUGAAGCCACUUGAAGAUGAUCACAUAGAACAAAUGAUUGAAGAAUUGCUGGAUUAUGGGUCCAUUGAGCUUUGCUCUAAUGUUACUUCUCAUUAAAAGAAAGCUGAGCGAGCUUACGCCUACCUCGACUAUUUCACUGGAUACUUGCUACUUUGCUGAUGUUCCUCCUCAGUAAUCUCAUCUCUGGCCUAUAUUGCUGCUGAACUAGAAACGACCCAAUUAGCUAAUUUAACCCAAUUAGUACAAAGUCUUUUUCAUGAGCCUCUCUGUCUAAAAUCUAUACAUCAUUAGUAGGUAGGCCUUUCCUUCUCUUUAGUUCCUAGAGUUCUUGCUUUAAGAGAACCUUCUAUUAGUUGUAAAAUGAUGUAUGUCCAGUGUAUUCUUUCUUUUUUUAGCUCAUAGUCUGUACUCUAUUCACCGCUCCAUUAUUGUUAAAAAAAAUAUUACAUGUUACUGCACUACUAAUAUCAUAAGUUUCACAUAUAUAUUCCAGAGUACUUCUUUCUUUAUUAUGACG